GCUCAGGAUGAACGCUAGCUACAGGCUUAACACAUGCAAGUCGAGGGGCAGCAUGGUCUUAGCUUGCUAAGGCUGAUGGCGACCGGCGCACGGGUGAGUAACACGUAUCCAACCUGCCGUCUACUCUUGGCCAGCCUUCUGAAAGGAAGAUUAAUCCAGGAUGGGAUCAUGAGUUCACAUGUCCGCAUGAUUAAAGGUAUUUUCCGGUAGACGAUGGGGAUGCGUUCCAUUAGAUAGUAGGCGGGGUAACGGCCCACCUAGUCAACGAUGGAUAGGGGUUCUGAGAGGAAGGUCCCCCACAUUGGAACUGAGACACGGUCCAAACUCCUACGGGAGGCAGCAGUGAGGAAUAUUGGUCAAUGGGCGAUGGCCUGAACCAGCCAAG
rnacentral:rRNA from 1 species